CCUACGGGAGGCAGCAGUGGGGAAUCUUAGACAAUGGGCGCAAGCCUGAUCUAGCCAUGCCGCGUGAGUGAUGAAGGCCUUAGGGUCGUAAAGCUCUUUCGCCUGUGAUGAUAAUGACAGUAGCAGGUAAAGAAACCCCGGCUAACUCCGUGCCAGCAGCCGCGGUAAUACGGAGGGGGUUAGCGUUGUUCGGAAUUACUGGGCGUAAAGCGCACGUAGGCGGAUUGGAAAGUUGGGGGUGAAAUCCCGGGGCUCAACCCCGGAACUGCCUCCAAAACUAUCAGUCUAGAGUUCGAGAGAGGUGAGUGGAAUUCCAAGUGUAGAGGUGAAAUUCGUAGAUAUUUGGAGGAACACCAGUGGCGAAGGCGGCUCACUGGCCCGAUACUGACGCUGAGGUGCGAAAGUGUGGGGAGCAAACAGGAUUAGAUACCCUGGUAGUCCACACCGUAAACGAUGAAUGCCAGACGUCGGAUAGUAUACUAUUCGGUGACACACCUAACGGAUUAAGCAUUCCGCCUGGGGAGUACGGUCGCAAGAUUAAAACUCAAAGGAAUGACGG
rnacentral:rRNA from 1 species